UUCCGUUUUCAGCUCCAAGCCAAGUCCAGUAGGCUAGCUGGGAGGUGCACCAUCGUGGUUUAGAGGAAAAGAGAAAUGAACAAAACGGGUCUCGAAAAACAGAGUGAAAUUCCCAGGUGGCAGCGGUGGUCUUCACCAAGAAUUAUGCAGCUCCUAACCAUCUAAAUUUGGCAAUAAAGUAGUCUCUUCGCCAAACUUUACAAAAGUGCCUUUACGUAAGCACAAUAAUAGUUCUACUGUUCUUAUCACAUACAAAAAACAAGAAAUGGCGCAUACAACCUCUUAGGGAAAAAAAUGGAAUUUAUGGCAGUAUUACAAACUUAAGAUAUGCUUUUGCUCCAGAACUAGGUUCACAGCACGCAGAUGUCACUUUCCCAUCACUUUGCAGUGGUAGUGUAGUGCUCAGUGCUGCCUCUGGCGCAGCUUCUGCUCGCCCAUUACCAGCGCGCCGGGGGUAUUAAAAUUCAGAAGCUUUUCUGCAGAUAAUGCCACAUAUGCGCUUUUUAGCAUCCGUCUUGCUACACUCUGAAAAGCUGCCUGCAACCACACAGACCUUAACGCUUGUUUAAUUCCUCGGCACGCCACACUUCCCUUUUUCAUGCACAGAUCUAAACAGGAACCUAACUGCUGCUUCGAUUAAGUAGCUAGAGAAAGAAAAGAAGAGAUCAAAAUAAGGGCUUGCAGUGAUUAGGGUUCUUUUCUGCUUUUGUCUUUGUGUUUUCUUUUGCAGUAUUGCUCUUCUCUCUUCUUUGGUCGUUCCUCAAACUGCGCAUAUACUUUCCUCCUUGGAGCGCUCCUUUUGGGGCAAAUGGCUUUGUGAUGAUUAGGGCUUGGCCUUUUCCUGACCUUUUGGGCCAUAUGUUACCAAGCAAUUCUUUGACUGUGACCACUACAUCAGAUUAGUUUGAAAAGAUCACGCAUACACUCGGAGCUUCACAAUACAUCAAUGCCUGAAACCUAGAUAGAAGGUGAAAGGUUGCUCAUUCUGUAGCAGUGACAUGGUAGCUCAGAAGUAGUAGUCACUAGUCAAGUUCAUGAAAACUUGAAUUUCAUGUGAGACACAAAAUUGAUGCGUGUGUGUCAAGAGGCAUAUAUAUGCAUAACUGCAUGGUCCAUUGCGGUCUCAGAAGUGAAAUUAAGCUGGGAGAUGAUGAUUGAGUAAUGAAGGGAGAUCUCUUGGGAUGGAAGGCGUGAGGGGGAAGUCGUUUCUGAUCGUUAGUUUUGGGUAGCUGUUAACCGACCCCUUUUUUCUGUUCGUAUCCCCAUAAAGAACAAUGUUUCAAGCACAACUUUUGAUGCAAAUGCAGGCAGUAAUGACCGGUCAAGGAAACCUUGCUUUGUUACAUGCUUUGGCUUUCCCCUGACUGAUAGUAGUAAUUCUCAUAGUAGUACCGCAUACGAAGCAUUUGAACGCUGCUCUGAAGAAUGCAAUGAGUAGUUAAUAUGGGCAUUACUGAACUCUUCUUAUCUUGUUUGUCAUGUCAGUAAGCUGGCAAAUAUACAUGUUGCUAUGAAUCAAUCUUAGAUCUCAAAUGGUUUUACAAGUACUUAUCAAGUUAUUUCUCUUCAGUACAUUCUUCUUGUAAUGGCAGUAUGGUACUGAUACUUAAGAAGUUGCCUGAAACAUAGUGAAUGAAUGUGUCAAUUUCUGUGUCCAGCUAGUAAUAGUCUGCUUUCAAGGAGCAGGAAUGCUGAAAACCCCUACUUUGCUGAACAUCAUGUGGCUGUUUUUCUGUGCUUCUACAACUAAUUAAAGCAUCACUGUACCUUUUUUAAUGGAGAGCCCUCGCAAAUCACAAAGUCUUCAUGGACUGCUCCAAUGAUCAAUGCACAUUCGUCACCUGUUCAAUCCUUCCAGAUCAGGUUCGAAAUUUCAUGUGAGCCUUUGCUCACUUUGAUGCAUCCAUGCAUAAAAUUUAGCUCUCACUGGGUCA